CUACGGGUGGCAGCAGUGGGGAAUAUUGCACAAUGGAGGAAACUCUGAUGCAGCAACGCCGCGUGGAGGAUGACACUUUUCGGAGCGUAAACUCCUUUUAUAUAGGAAGAAGAUGACGGUACUAUAUGAAUAAGCGCCGGCUAACUCCGUGCCAGCAGCCGCGGUAAUACUGAGGGCGCAAGCGUUACUCGGAAUCACUGGGCGUAAAGAGCGUGUAGGCGGAUUAAAAAGUCAGAAGUGAAAUCCUAUAGCUUAACUAUAGAACUGCUUCGGAAACUCUUAAUCUAGAAUAUGGGAGAGGUAGAUGGAAUUACUGGUGUAGGGGUAAAAUCCGUAGAGAUCAGAAGGAAUACCGAUUGCGAAGGCGAUCUACUAGAACAUUAUUGACGCUGAGACGCGAAAGCGUGGGGAGCAAACAGGAUUAGAUACCCGAGUAGUC
rnacentral:rRNA from 1 species